rnacentral:rRNA from 1 species
GCGUGAGUGAUGAAGGCCUUAGGGUUGUAAAGCUCUUUCGGCGGGGACGAUGAUGACGGUACCCGCAGAAGAAGCCCCGGCUAACUUCGUGCCAGCAGCCGCGGUAAUACGAAGGGGGCUAGCGUUGUUCGGAAUUACUGGGCGUAAAGGGCGCGCAGGCGGCCAUUCAAGUCAGAUGUGAAAGCCCCGGGCUCAACCUGGGAACUGCAUUUGAGACUGGAUGGCUAGAGUUCGGGAGAGGAUGGUGGAAUUCCCAGUGUAGAGGUGAAAUUCGU